UACGUAGGGGGCAAGCGUUAUCCGGAUUUACUGGGUGUAAAGGGAGCGUAGACGGCAGAGCAAGUCUGAAGUGAAAGCCCGCGGCCCAACUGCGGGACUGCUUUGGAAACUGCCCGGCUAGAGUGCUGGAGAGGUAAGCGGAAUUCCUAGUGUAGCGGUGAAAUGCGUAGAUAUAUGGAGGAACACCGGUGGCGAAAGCGGCUCUCUGGUCUGUAACUGACGCUGAGGUUCGAAAGCGUGGGUAGCAAACAGG
rnacentral:rRNA from 1 species